GCCAGUGUAGCAUAGUGGUAAGGAGCCGGGCUAAUAACCGGAAGGUCGCUGGUUCGAUUCCCCACCAGGUCACUGCUG